UACAGAGGGGGCUAGCGUUGCUCGGAAUCACUGGGCGUAAAGCGCACGUAGGCGGCUUGUUAAGUCAGGGGUGAAAUCCUGGAGCUCAACUCCAGAACUGCCUUUGAUACUGGCGAGCUUGAGUUCGGGAGAGGUGAGUGGAACUGCGAGUGUAGAGGUGAAAUUCGUAGAUAUUCGCAAGAACACCAGUGGCGAAGGCGGCUCACUGGCCCGAUACUGACGCUGAGGUGCGAAAGCGUGGGGAGCAAACAGG
rnacentral:rRNA from 1 species